rnacentral:pre_miRNA from 1 species
AGUGAAACUGCUAGAUUAUAUGGUAACUCUAUGUUAAGCCUUUUAAGGAACUACCAGACUGUUUUCCAAAGCAGCUGCACCAUUUUAUAUUUCCACCAGCAGU